UAGUCUACUUUUAUUCAUUUAGUAUUUAAUUUAGAGUCAUUUUAAAUAAAUUUUCAUUUAUUUAUUUAUUGAGUCAAUUAAUAUAUUACUACCUAUUAUUUCUAUGUAUCAAUGACUACAUGAUAUAACAAAGGUGUAGCCUACAUUUAAGUGCUAAUAGUAAUGGAAAAAUUACAAAUAGCAUGGUUUAAUUAGCACAUAUGGCCACACGUGCAACUUGUUUUGGUAUCAGAAAAAAACAAAUGGGCUUUGACCCAAUUGGGUAUUGAUUGACCCGAGAGGAACAAAAAGAUGGAAGUGAGGGAAUAACAAAGAGAGCCGCACAGGAACUAGGCAGGGAGCAACACGGUUUUGUGCAGCAAGCACAUUAUCACAUUUUUUUGAGAUUUUUUUGAUUUCUUAGAGAAAGAGAGCAUUUUUAGAGAGACACAAAACAAGGUGUUAGGUGUAGAUUCAACCCAAGAUUUAUUGAGACAUCAUGAGUCAAGGAUGGAAUCUUCAUCUUUUCUUCAUCCUUUGCAAAGCUAUCAUAGAUAUAUGUAGCUACAUCUACCCUUGUGGGUUUUGAGAAUUGCCGUCGUUUUCAAUUAUCGUGAGAAUCGUUGUUGUCCUUUUGAUUCUAGACAUUGUUAGAAUCGGUGUUGUUUCAAUAAUCACAUCAGGGGUAUUGAGCUGGAUAUUCACCAUCAUUUACAUAGUCAAGGACAAGCUUAGUACAAUGAACAGUUGGGGCAGGCUUGUAGCUGUUCUUGAGAUUGCAAAGGUCGACUCACCGAAGUUACUUGAAUAACUUUGGUGGAAAUCUUGUUUGUUUGGUACUAUAGACUAUACAUUAUCUAGAAGGAAAAUGCUACAGUACACGACAAAUUCUGUCGUCAAAUUUGCACAAAUCAACGUAUAAUUGUAGUUUGGUAUUUUAUCUUAAUUUUAAUUUGAGUCAAGGUGGCUAAAUAUGUCUCUGAAGUGCAAAGACACGUUUCCAUGUUGUGUAUUUUCCAAAUCAUGCAUGUCUUUGUCUCAUCUUACCAUUGACAUGUGGAAAGGUGGAUAUCCUUAGAUGUGUAUGAUAUCUCUUUGGUA